UNGCCUGUUCUUACUUCAAAGAUGCCUGCC
rnacentral:piRNA from 1 species